AAAGGUAAGCUACUAAGAGCAAAUGGUGGAUGCCUUGGCUAGUAGAGGCGAUGAAAGACGUGCCAGGCUGCGAUAAGUCUCGGGGAGCCGUCAAGGGGCUUUGAUCCGGGAAUUUCUGAAUGGGGCAACCCAGUAUAUAGUGAUAUAUACUACCGCAAUGCGGAGCUAACGUUGGGAAUUGAAACAUCUUAGUACCAACAGGAAAAGAAAUCAAAAGAGAUUACGCUAGUAGCGGCGAGCGAACGCGUAAGAGGGCAAACCGUUAGUUUACUAACGGGGUUGUAGGACUGCAACAUAGACUUAAACAAACUAAUAGAAUAACCUGGAAAGGUUGACCAUAGAGGGUGAUAGUCCCGUAUAUGAAAGUGCGUUUAUACUUAGCAGUAUCCUGAGUAGGGCGGGACACGUGAAAUCCUGUCUGAAGCUGGGGAGACCACUCUCCAACCCUAAAUACUACUACUAGACCGAUAGUGCACAAGUACCGUGAGGGAAAG
rnacentral:rRNA from 1 species